UACGAAGGGGGCUAGCGUUGCUCGGAAUUACUGGGCGUAAAGCGCACGUAGGCGGCUUUCUAAGUCGGGGGUGAAAUCCUGGAGCUCAACUCCAGAACUGCCUUCGAUACUGGAGAGCUCGAGUCCGGGAGAGGUGAGUGGAACUGCGGGUGUAGAGGUGAAAUUCGUAGAUAUUCGCAAGAACACCAGUGGCGAAGGCGGCUCACUGGCCCGGUACUGACGCUGAGGUGCGAAAGCGUGGGGAGCAAACGGG
rnacentral:rRNA from 1 species